rnacentral:rRNA from 1 species
GGUUGUCGUCAGCUCGUGUCGUGAGAUGUUGGUUAAGUCCGCAACGAGCGCAACCCUAUUGUUAGUUGCCAUCAUUCAGUUGGGCACUCUAGCGAGACUGCCGGUAAUAAACCGGAGGAAGUGGGGAUGACGUCAAAUCAUCAUGCCCUUAUGACCUGGGCUACACACGUGCUACAAUGGUUGGUACAACGAGUUGCGAGUCGGUGACGGCGAGCUAAUCUCUUAAAGCCAAUCUCAGUUCGGAUUGUAGGCUGCAACUCGCCUACAUGAAGUCGGAAUCGCUAGUAAUCGCGAAUCAGCACGCCGCGGUGAAUACGUUCCCGGGCCUU